rnacentral:rRNA from 1 species
UGAGUAACCUGCCCCGAAGACCGGGAUAACCCUCCGAAAAGGAGAGCUAAUACCGGAUACCCCCACCGGACCGCAUGAUCUGGUGAGGAAAUGGAUUCCGCUUCGGGAGGGCCUCGCGGCCUAUCAGCUUGUUGGUGGGGUAACGGCCCACCAAGGCUUCGACGGGUAGCUGGUCUGAGAGGGUGACCGGCCACACUGGGACUGAGACACGGCCCAGACUCCUACGGGAGGCAG